UCAGUGAUCUCUUGGUUAUUAAGUAGUGUAUUGUUUAGCCUCCAUGUGUUUGUAUUUUUUACAGUUUUUUUUCCUGUAAUUGAUACCUAGUCUCAUAGCGUUGUGGUUGGAAAAGAUACUUGAUAUGAUUUCAGUUUUCUUAAAUAUACCAAGGCUUGAUUUGUGACCCAAGACAUGAUCUAUCCUGGAGAAUGUUCCUUGAGCACUUGAAAAGAAAGUGUAUUCUGUUGUUUUUGGCUGGAAUGUCCUAUAAAUAUCAAUUAAGUCCAUCUUGUUUAAUGUAUCAUUUAAAGCUUGUGUUUCCUUAUUUAUUUUCAUUUUGGAUGAUCUGUGCAUUGGUGAAAGUGGGGUGUUAAAGUCCCCCACUAUGAUUGUGUUACUCUCAAUUUCCCCUUUUAUGGCUGUUAGCAUCUGCCUUAUGUAUUGAGGUGCUCCUAUGUUGGGUGCAUAAAUAUUUACAAUUGUUGUAUCUUCUUCUUGGAUUGAUCCCUUGAUCAUUAUGUAGUGUCCUUCUUUGUCUCUUUUAAUAGUCUUUAUUUUAAAGUCUAUUUUGUCUGAUAUGAGAAUGCUACUCCAGCUUUCUUUUGACUUCCAUUUGCAUGGAAUAUCUUUUUCCAUCCCCUCACUUUCAGUCUGUAUGGGUCCCUAGGUCUGAAGUGGGUGUCUUGUAGACAGCAUAUAUGUGGGUCUUGUUUUUGUAUCCAUUCAGCCAGUCUAUGUCUUUUGGUUGGAGCAUUUAAUCCAUUUACAUUUAAGGUAAUUAUGUAUGUUCCUUUUACCAUUUUCUUAAUUGUUUUGGGUUUUUUAUUGUAGGUCUUUUCCUUCUCUUGUGUUUCCUGCCUAGAGAAGUUCCUUUAGCAUUUGUUGUAAAGCUGGUUUGGUGGUGCUGAAUUCUCUUAGCUUUUGCUUUUCUGUAAAGGUUUUAAUUUCUCUGUCAAAUCUGAAUGAGAUGCUUGCUGGGUAGAGUAAUCUUCGUUGUAGGUUUUUCCCUUUCAUCACUUUAAAUAUGUCCUGCCAGUCCCUUCUGGCUUGCAGAGUUUCUGCUGAAAGAUCAGCUGUUAACCUUAUGGGAAUUCCCUUGUAUGAUAUUUGUUGCUUUUCCAACUUGCUGUUUUUAAUAUUUUUUCUUUGUGUUUAAUUUUUGAUCACUUGAUUAAUAUGUGUCUUGCCAUGUUUCUUCUGGAUUUUCCUGUAUGGGACUUGCUGCGUUUCCUUUCCCAUAUUAGGGAAGUUUUCAACUAUAAUCUCUUCAAACAUUUUCUCAGUCCUUUCUUUUUCUCUUCUUCUUCUGGGACCCAUAUAAUUUGAAUGUUGGUGUGUUUAAUGUUGUCCCAGAAGUCUCUGAGACUGUCCUCAAUUCUUUUCAUUCUUUUUUCUUUAUUCUGCUCUGUGGUAUGGUAAUUAUUUCCACUAUUUUAUCUUCCAGGUCACUUAUCCUUUCUUCUGCCUCAGUUAUUCUGCUAUUGAUGCCUUCUAGAGAAUUUUUAAUUUCAUUUAUUGUGUUGUUCAUCAUUGUUUGUUUGCUCUUUAGUUCUUCUAGGUGGUUGUUAAACGUUUCUUGUAUUUUCUCCAUUCUAUUUCCAUGAUUUUGGAUCAUCUUUACUGUCAUUACUCUGAAUUCUUUUUCAGGUAGACUGCCUAUUUCCUCUUCGUUUGUUUGGUCUGGUGGGUUUUCAUCUUGCUCCUUCAUCUGCCACAUAUUUCUAUGUCUUCUCAUUUUGUUUAACUUACUGCAUUUGAGGUCUCCUUUUCUCAGGCUGCAGGUUUGUAAUUCCUGUUGUUUUGGUGUCUGCCCCCAGUGGGUAAGCUUGGCUCAGUGGGUUGUGUAGGCUUCCUGGUGGAGGGGACUGGUGCCUGUGGACUGGUGGAUGAGGCUGGAUCUUGGCUUUCUGGUGGACAGGACCGUGUCCGGUGGUGUGUUUUGGGGUGUCUGUGAACUUAUGAUUUUAGGCAGCCUCUCUGCUAAUGGGUGGGGUUGUGUUACUGUCUUGCUAGUUGUUUGGCAUAGGGUGUCCAGCACUGGAGCUCUCUGGUCGUUGACUGGAGCUGGGUCUUAGCGUUGAGAUGGAGAUCUCUGGGAGAGCUGUUGCCGAUUGAUAUUAUGUGGGGCCAGGAGGUCUCUGGUGGUCCAGUGUCCUGAACUCGGCUCUCCCACCUCAGAGCCUUAGGCCUGACACCCGGCCAGAGCACCUAGUCACUGUCAGCCACACGGCUUGAUGAAGAAACGCCACGACACAGUGAUGGCGUGACCGGAAGUCCUCACUCUUUUAAUUGGUGAUGUAGCUGGUUCGUUCAACUAUAGCUUGGGCCAAAAGCUAUGGGUCAGACCAGGAAAAUCUCUGGUCUUCCAGACAUCCACAAAGAUUGGGGAUGGGUGGUAGUUGUAGAUAAAGGAAAAUUCUGACCCUAAAUUGAUGGAAAGUAGUGGGAGGUAACAAAUCUUAAGACAGGGAAUUCUUAACCUGGGCUACAGCAAACAGUAGGAAGUCAUGAGGCAAUUAUCCACUAAUAGAAAAUAAGAACACGAGGUGUAUUCUCCAGGUAAUACUAGUGGUCCACCUAAAAAUUAACAGGAAUUGAAAUAAAGUUCUCCAGCAAGGUGUUUGGAACAAGGUAGACUGUAGAGAGAUUAAGGCACUAAUGCCUGCUCCAGAUGAAAAACCCAGCUGAAGUGCAUUGCAGACAGACCUAUAAGGGAAAAAUUUACAAGGAGGUCAUUCUAAAGGAAGGGUGUUUUUAAAGAUAGCUUUUUGAAAUGAUGGAACAAAGAGGAAAGAGAACCAAAAGAUGAACCACAUAACCCCCUGCCCCCCCCCCCCCCAAAAAAGGGAAGAUCAUUGAGUCGGCUCCAGGGCUAUAAAAGUGAGGAGGAAAAUAGCUACUUCUGGACUUUCUUCAUAUGUCUGAAUGUACAGGAAGGCAGGACCUGUUUUCCAUGAUGCUGUAAGGUGGGUUACAUCAUACUGAAAUGACUCAUUUGAAUGUUAUCCCCAAAUUCUGAUGUGAAAAAUAGCUUUUAGGCAGAAGCUUAGAGAAAAGCUUUUGUGAUUCCUUUAGAAAAGAAUUGCCUGUGGAACUUUGCUAUAGCUAGAAGGGAAAAAAAAAACUAUCACGUGAGGAAAUAAUACAUCAAGCUUUCUGGCCCUGUCUACUUAGCUAAGCUUGCAGGGCAGAAGAUUAUCCAAAGUAAGGCACGUUCGCCACUUUUGGCACAUUCAGCAGAAAAUAGUUUGGUUUUUUUCCCCCUGAAUUUGUUCCUAACAUUUAUCUUCUAUUGCUUUAACGAAAAAUCAUCCCAAGUAUAGAAGUACUUGCUUAGAAAUUAUGGUGAGUGAGUAAGUAGGAUGUGCUGAGAAUAAUGAUGGGAAACUGAAAAAAAAAUGACUCUAGUAAUUAAAUGGAAAUUUUUUUAAAACACCGUUUAAAGUGUAAAUCUCUUCUCCCAAAGAAAUGUAUUCAGUCCAUUGAAGGAAAUUCUUUUGUAAUCACUCUGAAGAAUGUGGAUUGUGAAGAACCCUGGCCAUGAGAAGGAAUUUGAACUAAGAUCUACUGAAUCAGUCAGGAGGAAAUAGAGCACGGGCUCUAGAUGCGCGGGCUUCAGUAGUUGUGGCACACGGACUUAGUUGCUCCGCAGCAUGUGGUAUCUUCCCAGACCAGGGAUUGAACCAUGUCCCCUGCAUUGGAAGGCAGAUUCUUAACCACUGCGCCACCAGGGAAGUCCCUAUCCUGGCUUCUUUUUCUGAAAGGCAGCAACAGUUCAUCCUGUGAGUAUAUAAACCCUAACAUAGCCCAAGAAUCAAGGCAGUGGGCGCAAUGUAUGUGGAAUGUGAAGCAUCCAGAUAGAUUCCCUAGGCUGUCCCAACAGAGCCACAGGGCUGCCAGGAACCUCAAGGACCAGAAGAUGAUUUAAGAAAAUCCUUUAUGGGCCAAGAGCUUCGAAGAAGUCUCAGUUAACAAACAUCCUAUGGGCACUCUCCUCCUCUGCUGACUGGUCGUCAUGGGUCACGAGCAAUCGAGGCAUGAAAAGCUUGCUGCCAAAAUUACGGCACGUAAUAUCUGCUGAGCUCUUUUUAUGGUCCAGGCUCACUUUGCAGGCAGUAACUUUCUUAGUCCUCACUAGAACCUUAUUAUUCUCAUGACGUGGAUGAAAAUAUCAGGGGCACAGACUGGUGUAGCCAUUCCCACAGGGUGAAGAGACAAGGUUGGAACCCACCAAUCUGGCCACAGGGUCCCUGUGCCUAACUUCUAUCCACGUAGCUGCUCCAGGCUAAUUAACAGCUUUACAAACUACUCUUGCACACAUCUCAGUAAUGGGAUGGAAGGAAUACAUUUUUUUUUGUGCACUGGUAGAAUGUUUUUCCCUCCCAAAGAAAAUAUUAUAUAUUUUUUCCUCUGUUGGCUGUGGUUAGAAACUCAUCUGCGUGGAAAGCCCUUGCUUUAGCAAGCUUUACAAUAGAAAACUCAUCUUCCUGCCUAGUCGAGGGGGAGGCUUGCGAUUAGGGGAGGCUGCUGACCCACUAGAAGCUUCUGACCUCAGGAGAGCUUGGCUGUGACAGUGAGUAACUCUACCCGUUUCUGGAAGCAAUAGAAACCCUCUCUUUACAAAGCCCUGUUCUGCUCAGCCGCCUGUCGAGUUCAAACCCUAAUUCUUCAGGAAGAAGAGAGAUUAUAGACUGUGAAUCAUUUUGUAACAUCAGACUUUCCUCAGUGGAACACCGUUUAAGUGUUUUUGGGUUUUUUGGUCUGGGCUUUUUUGAUUUUUAUUUAUCUCUUUAUUUGAAGAUACAUGAAAUUCUGUGAAUCUGUUUUUUGUUCCUCUGAUGAGCAACUGGGCCAAUGUAGGGACCAGAAAUCCAGAUUUUGACACUUUCCCUCCUCCUUUAAGCUGUUAAAAACAUUCUGCAUUUCUAAAGUUUCACAUUUUGGCUUGAUCUGACUUUAUCUUAUAGUAACUGAAAGCUAGUUACUUCAAAUUAAGUUCUAAGCAAGUAAGUGUCCAAGGAUACACUAAUAGCUAAAAUAUUAUGCAUCAUGUCCUUAUGACUCAUUUCUUUCUGGAAAUGUGUUUCUGGAAAUAGUUGAUUAAAGAAAGUGACUUAAGAGAAGAUAAGUCAACCCUGACACAGCUCAGAUUGUUUAGGGGUGCCGGGCUGUCUGGGAAGUCUGAUUCCAGCCCAGGUAACUGUUGGGUGUCAGCAGAUGGCAAAGUGUUUGCCGGGGUAAUGUCUGACUGAAGCCAAUGUGAAUUGUAACUGCUGCGGUGUUUCUGCUUGUCUGGGCAGCGAUCUCAAUAUGUGAGACCUGCCAGUCUGGCUCAUUUCAUGCAACUUCAUUAUAUGAAUACUAAUUGUAUGGAUUCUCUUAGAUGCCUGCUUGGUGCCACAAACAACUCAAAUGUCAUCAAACAGGUUAAGAAGAGGCAUAAAAAAAAAAAAAGAAGAGGCAUAGAGGACUUCCCUGGGGGCACAGUGGUUAAGAAUCCACCUGCCAAUGCAGGGGGCACGGGUUCGAUCCCUGGUCCAGAAAGAUCCCACGUGCCGCGGAGCAACUAAGCCCGUGCACCACAACUACUGAAGCUCGUGCGCCUAGAGCCCGUGCUCCACAGCAAGAGAUGCCACCGCAAUGAGAAGCGCGUGCACUGCAACUAAGAGUAGCCCCCCGCUCGCCGCAACAAGAGAAAACCCGUGUGCAGCAACGAAGACCCAUGCAGCCAAAAAUAAAUAAAUAAGUAAAUAAAUUUAUUGAAAAAAAGAAAAGAAGAGGCAUAGAAUGACAAGUUUACUGUGAGCCAGCCCUUCCCGGAUUCUAGUUUCUGUUUCUUGGAGAAGAGCUGAUUCCAGUGUUCUCAGUGGAACAGAAUUUGGAUUCUGUUGUUUUCCUCUUGCGUCCCCAGAUUGCAGCAGCAACCAAGAACAUAUGACUGGGAUGCUUUGCUUAUGACCUAGUGAUAAAAUGUCUUGUCCCUUACCUAAAUUUAAUUUUUUUUAAAUAAUAAGUGAGCAUGGUUAUGAAUUAUAUAAUUCAGAGAGGAUCCUAAUGAAAACCAACAGUCACCUGCAUCACUCAUUCAUUCCCAGCUCAGUUCAAGCCAACCUGUGAAACUUUGCAAAUGCAAGAAUGUGCUUAACAGCUUAAUAUACAAGAGUUAAUAUGCAAGAGUUUUCUCUUGCUGUUUGAUGGUUUGUUCUCCAAUUUCUCUGUUUACUACUGAGUCAUGUUAUUCAGUUGGUUUAUCAUAUCUUUCUCUUUAAUGUUUUGGGCCUUAAUCAAAUACGUGAUGACCUGGCAGAAAAUCUGCAAAUUCCCUUUUCUUGAACCUAUCAGAGAGCUGAGGUUGCAGGUCAACCAACUAUCUUGAAAUCUAGGGAAUUCCCUGGUGGUCCAGUGGUUAGGACUCCGUGCUUGCACUGACAUGGCCUGGGUUCAAUCCCUGGUCGGAGAACUAAGAUCCCGCAAGCUGCGCAGCACGGCCAAAAAAGAAAAAAAGAAAUCUAAGGAAAGACAGGCACCUCCAAGGAGGAAUGGGCUGCGAGCACUUGCUUGGCCAGGGCAGAUGCUUCUAGAUACAGUACAAGUUGGUAAGAAGAAUUCAACUAAGAUUUUUAAUGAAUUGCUAAGGGCUGAAUGCGACUAGCAUAAAAAUAUGAAACUCCUUGGAGCUACAGAAUUUGCACCGAUUUGCAGGUUCUUCACUGGAGCCCACCAGGUGCUCACAGAAAGGCUGCGGACAGGACAGUGACGAUGGUUUGGGUCACGGCCGGGAACACUGAGUUUAGGGAGGCACCUCCUUCAGAGCAAGCCUGCUCUUUGUCUUCGAGGAGGCGUCGCCUCAUUCCUUGAGCUGCUCCCUGCAGACACAACCCUGAGAAGUGCCCUGGGAAGGGGGCUGAGAGCUUGCAUUCCUGGUACACGCAGUAGGAACUUGCAGGCACCCACAUGGCCGAGCACCUCUCCCGACAAGGUCAAG